CUGGUGUGACAAGCAUAGUAUAUAUUCCAUUUAUGUUCCAGGAAAAUCGUGUGUCUCUUCUUUUUUAACAUGUUGUAAAAUUCUUAUGUCAUGUUACAAACUGGUUUCUUUUUACUUUUGUGAUUCUGCCAUUUUCUAGUGGAAUAGUUGCUAUUUUAGUAAUCCUCAUGUUAAAACUACAUCAUUGAAAUGGAAACUUCCAUUUGGCACUCUGGCAUUUAGACUUCUCUUUACUCUGAUUUUUUCCUUCCUCCAUAGUCCUUUCUCUCUUUCAAUGUGCUUUAUAACUGAUUUAUGGUUACAUGAAUUGUUCUUUGGAUCCUGUGACUGUGUGCAUGCUCAGUCAUGUCUGCCUCUUUGUGACCCCAUGGACUGUGCCCUGCCAGGUGCCUCUGUCCAUGAAAUUUUUCAGGCAAGAAUACUGGAGUGGGUUGCCAUUUCCUACUCCAGGGGAUCUUCCCAACCCAGGGAUUGAACCCAUGUCUCCUGCGUCUCCUGCGUCUCCUGCAUUGGCAGGUGGAUUCUUUACCACUGAGCCACCUGGGAAGCCUCUUCUUGGAUCUUACCUGACCAGAAUAAAAUCUCUGAGUUCACACAUUUCUAUCUUGUUCAGUGAAACAUCCUCAGUGUCUCAAACAUCCCCAUCACAGAGUAUUUGUGAAAUAAUUCCACUGGAUAAGUGAAGUUCCUGUAUGGAUUUCAGCUUCCACUCUGUUUCCACAGCUUAGAGUUGAAAUCUGACUCAGACUUUCAAACUGAUCUGGCCCUGAAUCCAUCCACUAACCUAUACUUCCUUCCUUCUUUUCUUCCUUCCAUCUGCCAGCUCUCAGCUUCCAGUCUGCCUAGGCUCUAACUCUUCCCAUUGCCACCUGAAACUUGGUUUUUUACACUUUCUUCUCGCUAUUAGCUAUGGUUCUUUGACCUAAUACUGCCAUAAUGUGGUGAAGCAUUAAUCUGUAGAAGGAUAGAGGUACACCAGUAAGUAUCCCUUGGAGAAGGGAAUGGCGACCCACUCCAGUAUUCUUGCCUGAAUAUCCCGCCAGUAAGUAUCCCACGGACAGAGGAGCACGGAGUCAGACACGACUGAAGGACUAAGCACACACACACCAGUAAGCACAAGGUGGCUGCCAAUGUUUCACACAAGGAACACAGGUGUGAGUGUUGGAACUGAUGGUUCCCAGGACACUGCAUCACAAAAGGCCCUUCUGGCAUCUCCCCAUCUUUCAGCAAGAAUAGCACGCAUCCUGAGAGUUGUUACGUGGACUUUUCAGCUUUCAAUUCAUUUCAGAUGUGGCUUAAAGUAACAUGUCAUUCAGAGUUUGUUUGCCUGUAGGGUGAUUCAUUCAUUGAUCUCCUAAACAAACAUAUAGUAGGUAGGGGAGAAGACAGGAGAAAAAGGGAGGGAAGGAAGAAAUGACAGAGGAAACAAUUUUUACCCUAGGGCAUCCAUGUUGUGAUUACCUCUCAAAAACUAGAAACAAGCAGUUUGGUUCCCUGUGUGAAAAUUCAAACUGGUAAAACCAUGAACUUGAGGUGAGUUCUGUGGCUUCUCUAAAGUAUCUGGGGUUCUGUAGCUUGGUUGGUUGGUUGUUGCUUUCAUUUAAAAGAAGAUGAUAUUUAUAAAUGAGAGAGGGAUUAGAAUAUGAAUAACAAAAUGAAGCUGAUGAUUCCUGUUUAAAAUAUUGAAAAUUGGGGGUCAGAAAAGAAUCAAAUCAUGAAUCUUUUCUUCAUACCUGUAAGAACCAGGCUGUAAAUUUAUUGCGUGUUGUAUAGAGAGCCCAAAAUAGUAUGUGUGUGUAUGUUUAAGACACUUCUCUGUGACUCAUUCAACAAACAUGAUCAUCUUCCAAGUGCAAGGCCCCGCGUCCAGUGCUACAGGAAGAACAGCAGGAGACAAUGGCAGAACAAUGAGAGCUCGUGGGACUUCUCUGGCGAUCCAGUGGCUAAGGCGCCACACUCCCAAUGCAGGUUCAAUCCCUGAUCAGGGAACUAGACCCCACAUGCCUCAAAUAAGAGUUCACAUACCACAACUCAGACCCGGCCCAGACAAAUAAAUAAAAAUAAAUAUAAAAAGAACAAUGGGAGUUACUAUUUCUAUGGGCAAAUAUGCUGUGCCUGUUUCUUUCAAAAGUUAUACUUGAGUCUCACAAAAAUCUGCAACAUAGAUAUUAUAAUGUGUACUUUCCUUCCAAGUACGAGAAAACUGAAGAUUAGAAAAGUUCAGUAAUAUUCCAAGCCAAACAGCUUACAUGUAUUCAAUUCAAUGUUUUGACAGUACCACAUCCAUGUUAUUUUGACUAAGCCGCCUUCGAGGUACUCAUAACCUGGAAGACAUGAUCUCUCUCAUUUGCUCAACUUCUUUCUUUCUCUCUCUCUGUCUCACACACACACUCAUCUAGGCUGUGAUCUAUAUACAUAUCUAAAAGAGAGACAAAUACUCUCACUUGAGCACCUAGAUUCUGAGGGCUCCGGUGGCUGCCUGGUCAUUUGCCGGCAGUUCAUGCUGUAGUCUACGCACUCGAGGGCGUGAAUGUACUGACAACUGUCCAUGUACUUACUCCCUGUGCACCCACUAAGUGCAAGAGAUACACACACUCCUAAAACCUAGUCCUGUCUUCAAGGAGAUUAGUUGCGUAUAAGAAAUUUAUAUGUCAAAAAAGUGUUGUAGUAUUGGCCAAUUUCCCAGUUCUUUUGAAAAUGUACCAGGUAGGAAAACAACAUGCCACUUGCAACAGAAUAAAGAAAACACAGAUAUUGAUCAAAAUGUUAUAAACCUGGCUUAAAGGAAAGUGUGGCUUAAGUAGUGCAAAGAGGCUCAUUUGAGAACUAUAGACCGUUUUCUUUUCCUCUUCUCUUUCAAAACAUUUCUUUCAGGCUCUUUCUCCCUCAUAAAAUUCAUAUUUUGCAUCCUUUAGGAAAAAAAAUAUUUUUCAGAGCUUACAGGUGGCAGUAGAAUGAAGGGUUAUAGAAAAUAACUAGUUUUAACUGCACAUGGGACUUCCCUGGUUGUCCAGUGGUUUAAAAUCCACCUUUCAAUGAAAGGGAUGUGAGUUUGACUCCUUGUUGGGGGACUUGGAUCUUACAUGCUGCAACCAAGCCCGUACUCUGCAACUACUGAGCCCAUGCACCAUGAGACCAUGCACCACGACUGGAGAGAAGCCCCCAUGCUGCCAAGAACUGACACAGCCAAAUAAAUAAAUACAUGUUUUUUUUUUGGAAAAACACACACACACACAGAGUUCAUGGAUCUUUGGAGAGAGUUCACUGCGUGGCGACCCAAAUCAUGGAUAGUGGUUAUACUACAAUCAGGUGACUCAUUAUAGCAAACUAUUGGCUGCAUGUUCUAAAUUUAAUGUAGCUGGGAGAAUGUUUGGUACCCUGUUAAAUAGUAAGAACAAUCACAUUUCAUUUAAAGCAAAGCCAAUUUAAGAUAUUUUAUGAUUUCAGGGAUGUUAAAAUGUGAAAAAAAGUACAUCUUAGAAUUCAUAAAAUAGGAAUAUAUAUUAGUCAAGGCUCUCCAGAGAAACAGAAAAUCCAACAGGAUGUGUUUGUAUCAUUUAUUUCCAUCUAUCUUUCUAUCUAUCUAAUUUAGAUUUUAAGAAAUUGGCUCAUACAAUUGUAGAGACUUAGAAAGUCCAAAAUCUUGAGUAGGCUGGCAGACUGCAGACCCAAGGUAGUUUCAGAAGUCACAGUUCAAGUUCAAAAGUGUUAUUCUGGCAGAAUCCCUUCACCCUCCAGCAAGGUCAGUCUUUUUCUAGUAAGGCCUUCAACUGACUGAAUGAGGCCCACCACUGCCCACAUUAUGAAGAACAAUCUGCUUUACUCAAAGUUUACUGAAUUCCCUGUUAAUUUCAUCUAAAAAUUACCUUCACAGAAACAUCUAGGCUAAAUGUUUGGCCAAAUAUAUGGGCCCUGUGGCGUAACCAAUGCCACAUGAGUCACUGUGGCAGAGGGACAUUAGGAGGAAGAUUCUCUUUGUUGUGGGAAGUGUUAGCGCUGGAACUCACCCUGUCACGGCACAAAGACAUGAGCAGAGCAGUGCUGGUUCUUCCUCUCAAGGCUUUUUUGUGGGUUGGGGUUCACCCUGUCUGAUCUCUUCUGGGCCUUCCCUUCAAAAGGGAAUCAUCCAUAAUGCAAUCAAUUAAACCCACCCCAUAGAGCAAACUUCUGGUGAGCUGCAAAGGGAAAUAGCUCUGUCCUUUUCUCUAUGUUACUAAUGUUUACAUUUCUGUUUUUCUAACUUGGACAGAAGCCAGACCCCUGGGAUUUGGGGGUGAGGGGGAUAUGGGGGGAAAAUCAAAUGUUCUGCCAAUAUAUGAAAUAUAAUUUUUUUCCCUAAAUUUUAGUUUAGCUCUUCUUUGUUGGAACUUGUGCCAGUGGUCAGAAAGAGGAGGAAGAGAGAAAAAGUAUGGUCUCCACACUGCCCCCAUCCACCACAAUCAGACCACAUUUCACUCCUACCCACCUUUAACUCUUCUCACCACUGGUUUCCCGUCCAAACACCCCGGAACCCACUGCUCUUAUAUUCUCUAGAAUGUUCCCAGGCCUGUCUCUGCCAGCAGUUAUCCCCUGUUAAAUAUUACCAUGAUCAGUUUCUUCCCUCCUCCUGCUUGCACAAUCCUGGAACCAGUGACUCACUCUUGCUUUAUUGUAAGUAUUUACAUUUUGGUUAAAAUCAUGGACCUUGGAGCCGUGGAAUCUCUUCUUCGCCACUUGUGUGACACUCGCAUCUGUUCCCUCACCUAUAAAACUGGGAUAAUGACAGUAUUUACGUCACAGCAGACAUGUCCUUCCAAUCGAGCUCUCUCCACGGGCACCACUGACAGAGAAGCAAAAUCAAGGCCUUCCUUCACCUUAUGGCUCCCAUAUGGAGAUUGUUCAGUCUAUCUCAUCUACUCAAAGCAUAUCUGAUGAGUAGUCAACCUCCCUCCUUGACAGUUUAUUACUGAUCUCUGUAAAUUGGAGGCUAUAAAUCUGACAGCAGCAUUACAACCUCUGAAUUGAAUGUAUAAUUUAAUUUGUAAACUCAUGUUCUCCAUUUCGAGAACUGUAAUAAAACCGAGUUUGUGCUGAUUUUCUAACAUGGAUUUGUUGUUCCGUUAGUUUGAGAGUCGACAUGGCUUGCCUCUUUGACAUGUGAAUUCUUAAACCCUGGUUUCUUUAGUAGCUCU
ensembl:lncRNA